rnacentral:ncRNA from 1 species
UACGGCUGAGGUCGCGGAAGCCAUCAGUACCGGUUCGGUCCGGCAAUUGCCGAAUCGCGGAAAGGGACUUUCGCCGAAGGGAGCGCCUGAUGCCACGCUGGCGCUUUCUGGGGCCGCGCAGAAUAUGCGCGGAACUGUCAUCCAAUGGAUGUUGCGCUGCC